GAUAAACCGGAGGAAGGUGGGGACGACGUCAGAUCAUCAUGCCCCUUAUGACCUGGGCAACACACGUGCUACAAUGGGAAGUACAACGAGUCGCAAACUGGCGACGGCAAGCUAAUCUCUUAAAACUUCUCUCAGUUCGGACUGGAGUCUGCAACUCGACUCCACGAAGGCGGAAUCGCUAGUAAUCGCGAAUCAGCAUGUCGCGGUGAAUACGUUCCCGGGUCUUGUACACACCGCCCGUCAAAUCAUGGGAGUCGGAAGUACCCAAAGUCGCUUGGCUAACUUUUAGAGGCCGGUGCCUAAGGUAAAAUCGAUGACUGGGAUUAAGUCGUAACAAGGUAGCCGUAGGAGAACCUGCGGCUGGAUCACCUCCUUUCUAAGGA
rnacentral:rRNA from 1 species